GAUGAACGCUGGCGGCGUGCCUAAUACAUGCAAGUCGAGCGAACGGACGAGAAGCUUGCUUGUCUGAUGUUAGCGGCGGACGGGUGAGUAACACGUGGUUAACCUCCCUAUAAGACUGGGUUACCUUCGGGAAACCGGAGCUAAUCCCGGAUAAUAUUUUGAUCCGCAUGGUUCAAAUGUGAAAGACGGUCUUUCUGUCACUUAUAGAUGGAUCCGCGCUGCAUUAGCUAGUUGGUAAGGUAACGGCUUACCAAGGCAACGAUGCAUAGCCGACCUGAGAGGGUGAGCGGCCACACUGGAACUGAGACACGGUCCAGACUCCUACGGGAGGCAGCAGUAGGGAAUCUUCCGCAAUGGGCGAAAGCCUGACGGAGCAACGCCGCGUGAGUGAUGAAGGUCUUCGGAUCGUAAAACUCUGUUAUUAGGGAAGAACAUAUGUGUAAGUAACUGUGCACAUCUUGACGGUACCUAAUCAGAAAGCCACGGCUAACUACGUG
rnacentral:rRNA from 1 species